UUGGAGGGCAAGUCUGGUGCCAGCAGCCGCGGUAAUUCCAGCUCCAAUAGCGUAUAUUAAAGUUGUUGCAGUUAAAAAGCUCGUAGUUGAAUUUCGGGGUCAGUAGGUUGGUCGUGCCACAGGUAUGAACUGGUCUCACUGAUUCCUCCUUCCUGAUGAACCGUAAUGCCAUUAAUUUGGUGUUGCGGGGAGACUGGACUGUUACUUUGAAAAAAUUAGAGUGUUUAAAGCAGGCUAACGCUUGAAUACAUUAGCAUGGAAUAAUGAAAUAGGACGUUCGGUCUUAUUUUGUUGGUUUCUAAGAUUGACGUAAUGAUUAAUAGGGAUAGUUGGGGGCAUUAGUAUUCAAUUGUCAGAGGUGAAAUUCUUGGAUUUAUUGAAGACUAACUACUGCGAAAGCAUUUGCCAAGGAUGUUUUCAUUAAUCAAGAACGAAAGUUAGGGGAUCGAAGACGAUCAGAUACCGUCGUAGUCUUAACCAUAAACUAUGCCGACUAGGGAUCGGAUGAUGUUAAUUUUUUAAUGACUCAUUCGGCGCCUUACGGGAAAC
rnacentral:rRNA from 1 species